UAGGGAAUCUUAGACAAUGGGGGCAACCCUGAUCUAGCCAUGCCGCGUGUGUGAUGAAGGCCCUAGGGUCGUAAAGCACUUUCGCCAGAGAUGAUAAUGACAGUAUCUGGUAAAGAAACCCCGGCUAACUCCGUGCCAGCAGCCGCGGUAAUACGGAGGGGGUUAGCGUUGUUCGGAAUUACUGGGCGUAAAGCGCACGUAGGCGGAUUAGUAAGUUAGAGGUGAAAUCCCAGGGCUCAACCCUGGAACUGCCUUUAAUACUGCUAGUCUUGAGUUCGAGAGAGGUAAGUGGAAUUCCGAGUGUAGAGGUGAAAUUCGUAGAUAUUCGGAGGUACACCAGUGGCGAAGGCGGCUUACUGGCUCGAUACUGACGCUGAGGUGCGAAAGUGUGGGGAGCAAACAGGAUUAGAUACCCUGGUAGUCCACACCGUAAACGAUGAAUGCCAGACGUCAGCAAGUAUACUUGUUGGUGUCACACUAACGGAUUAAGCAUUCCGCCUGGGGAGUACGGUCGCAAGAUUA
rnacentral:rRNA from 1 species